UUUCGCUUGAUGUAGCCUUGUCUAAAAGGACUUUUAUGUUCUAGGUUUCAGACGUUCAUCCUGAGAGGAAACAGUACAAGUAACAUUUGAUCUAAUACCAGAUCCUCGACUCUGGACCCAUAUUUUACGAUAAUUUUGGGGAUUAUGAUUACGUCAUUCCUACCUCCUGUGAUCAAUCAGUAAACACAUCUAAUGCCUGCAGCUGGCAAAAGAAAGGUUGAUGGCAUUUCAGUUCCCGGCCUUGGUGUCUUUGGAAGAGACCAUGAAGGAGAGGGAAGAAGAAGCAGGAAAAAGGUCCCAUGGAUGGAUGGAUUGGGGAGCAUGGCCAGGAGGGCAAGCCUGAGAGUAUGAGCAGCCUGGGCAGAAUAUGGCAAGUGAGCCGGGAGUGGUGGCACUCACCUUUAAUCCGAACACUUGAGAAGUAGAGGCAGGCGGAUUUCUGAGUUCUUGACCAGCUUUGUCUACAAUGUGAGUUCCAGGACAGCCAGGGCUAUACAGAGAAACCCUGUCUCAAAAAAAAAAAAAAAAAGAAAAAAGAAAAGAAUAUGGUGAGUGAUAUCUCACAGUUCUUAGUAAAGAAGUAGAGAAAUUAGCAUAGAGGAAAGGUAUGUGCCCCAUGAUGGUGCAUUACUGCUUAUAAUCAUUAUUAUUAUUAAUCAUAAUUAUCAUUUCUUAUUAUUUGAUAUUAUUUCACAUUAUUGUUUAAUAUAUUAUUACAUCAUAUUAAUAUUAUUUCUUAUUUUAUUAUUUCAUAUUAUUUCUUAUUAUUUCAUAUUAUUUAUUAUUACUGUUUUAUUAUUAGUUUAUUCUCUUUUAUUAUUAUUAUUAUUAUUUAAUACCUCUAUAAUUUAUGUGUUGGUAAGAAAUCCACAAGUAAUAUUUACCACAACAACUUGGCUGUAAAAACAGCUUGUGCCCAAUGACUGAAAUGCAAUUGAAAGGAAGAUGUGGUUUUGUACACUUGUAACCUCAGAACCCAACAGACAAAACAGAAACAUGGCCAACACUUAUUUUCUUGCGAUAAGAAACAUUUAUUUUCUUCAGAGGAAGAAAGUUCUCUGGGAUCUCUGCUAAUAAGGUCACACAAACACACACACACACACACACACACACACACACCUCCACACAAACAUGCACACAUACUACAUACAUACAUUCACACAUAUACACACACACACACCACAGAUAAACAUACAUGCACCACACAUACACCAAACACACACAUAAAUAUGCCCCCACAAAAACACCCACACACAAAUAUGCCACUUACAUACAUUCACACAUACACAUGCACACACACAACGUACAGCCACACAUACACACACCACACAUACCCCCACACAAACAGUCACAUACAUACCACAUACAUUCAUUCACAUAUAUACACAUACACCAUACAUACUUACAUUCACACACAUGCACACACACAUACAACCACAGCACAUGCACACACAUAACAUAUACAUACAUUCAUACGCAUACAUACAAACACACCACACACACCUCCCUUUUUGAUUCUGGUUCAUUUUGCUUAACAAUGAUUUCUAGUUCCUUCUGUUUCUGUGCAAGUAUCAUGAUUUCACUUUUCUUCCUGACUGCAUGAAAUCAUGUCAUUUGUACUCUGUGAUCAAUUUGGUUAACAAGGGUUAAUGCAUAAGUAGGGCCUGGGCUGAGGAAUUUGCAUUGUGGGUGUUCCACAUAGCCAAGAGUGACAAGGCAUGUCCCAGAGUCUCUUCUCCCUCAGUGAGCCCCUUGGAGCAUGGCUCUUGGCCAAGGUUGUGGGGAAGGCAGGAUGAGGAAAUCAGUAGCUGACAUUGUUUGUGUACCUACUUGCCUGGUGAUUUCUGCUGCAACCACCAGGUUGUGUGUCUGAUGACCUUCCAGAGGUUCCACCAUCUGCCUGCACUUUGACCCCAUGAGUGUGAAAACAGAACUCCUGGAAGCUAUUGAAUCUGGGGGCUUUGAAACACUUUGAGAAAAUAUGGACAAGGUGGAGCACGGGGUAUCCGAGGUCAGUGAAGCUGGUCUGUAUACAUUGUAGAGGACAUGGAUCUGUGAACCCACAACAUGCAGCUCAAAGCAUGAAUGCUGUGUAGGCUGUAGACUGAGUGAGGGCAAUGAUUGUCCAUGCUACAGAUGCCCCAUUCUGGUGGAGGGUGUUGACCAGAUGAGCCCAGGGAAUGUCUCUAUGCCUGUCUCUCAAUGUUUCUAUGAAUCUAAAACUGCCCUAAAAUAAAGUCAGUUAAAAAUACAUAUGGGACCCAAGGAGCUAAAGGGGUUUGCAGCCCAAUAGGAGAAACAAUAUGAACCAACCAGUACCCCCAGAGCUCCCUGAGACUAAACCACCAACAAAAAAGAAUCCCAUGGCUCCAGCUGCAUAUGUAGCAGAGGAUGGCCUAGUCAGUCAUCAAUGGGAAGAGAGGCCCUUGGUCCUGUGAUGGUGCUAUGCCCAAGUAUAGGGGAAUACCUGGGCCAGGAAGCAAGAGUAUGUGGGUUGGGGAGCAUAGGAAGGGGGGCAAGUUAUAGGUGAUUUUCAAAGGGGAAACAGGAAAGGGGAUAUUUGAAAUGUAAAAUAAUAAAAAUAUCUAAUAAAAAUAUACAUAUGUGGACUGGUGGGGUGGCUCCAUGCUUAAGAGUUCUUACUGUUCUUUGAGCAGAAUCUAGUUCAUUUCCUCCCGUGUUGAGAGGCUCACAAUCACUGGUAACUCCAGCUCUUGGUGAUCGGGUGCCCUCGUCUGGCCUCCAUGGGCACCUGCACUAACAUGCAUAUUCCCACCCUAAUGUGCACAUAUCUGUUAGGGAAGUGCAUGGCUUUUCUAGUCCAGAUCUUGGAUUUUUGGUCUGAGUCUAAAUUCAGGGGUAGUCCUUUGCAAAGCACUGAGUAUUGAGUGCCUGCUUUGUUUAUAGCUCCUGGUUAGGCACUAAUGCAAGGUAAUGAAUGAAGUGAUGCCCUCUUGACUUCAUGGUGUCCAGUCAACCUGGCUGGGUGGGAGAAGGGCAGACACACAGUCCUCACCCCUACCCCCAGUCUGCAGAGCAAGGGAAGUCCUAGGUCCUCCUGCUCUUUAGAACACACUCUGGGACAAACCAGUGCUUGGUUCAGGAAGAACAUUGCAAGUAUGAUCAUUGCUGUGAAUGGAGAGACUGCACCAUAAGGGGAAACAGAGACAGUGCUGUAGCCUAGGAAGAGAAGUUGUGCUCGGGUGA
rnacentral:lncRNA from 1 species